rnacentral:rRNA from 1 species
GACGGAGGGUGCUAGCGUUGUUCGGAAUUACUGGGCGUAAAGGGCGCGUAGGCGGCCUGGGAAGUCGGCUUGUGAAAGCCCGGGGCUCAACCCCGGAGGUGCGGCCGAUACUCUCUGGCUCGAGGCCGGAAGAGGAGGGUGGAAUACCCAGUGUAGAGGUGAAAUUCGUAGAUAUUGGGUGGAACACCGGUGGCGAAAGCGGCUCUCUGGUCCGGACCUGACGCUGAGGCGCGAAAGCGUGGGGAGCAAACAGG